GAGGAAGCGUUACAGUGCUACAGUACGAAUCGUACCAGCAGCAACAAGCAUCAUGGAGGCUUUCAAGCUUAUGUUCAACAUCGUCGCCCUUAUGGUGGUCUCGUUCAUAUCUUUCGGCUACGCAGAGCCCGAGGCUGAUCCUUCUCCGGAUGCGGAUGCCGAUGCUGAUCCAGUAAAUUGGUUGAAGCUAGGAAAGAAGAUCAUGGGUGCAUUCGGAUAAUUCGAUUGUUCGACAAAUGAUCCUGAUCGAAAUAAACGAUACUUCAUGAAGUGAAA